rnacentral:rRNA from 1 species
UGGGGAAUAUUGCACAAUGGGCGCAAGCCUGAUGCAGCAACGCCGCGUGAACGAUGAAGGUCUUCGGAUCGUAAAGUUCUGUUGCAGGGGAAGAUAAUGACGGUACCCUGUGAGGAAGCCCCGGCUAACUACGUGCCAGCAGCCGCGGUAAUACGUAGGGGGCUAGCGUUAUCCGGAUUUACUGGGCGUAAAGGGUGCGUAAGUGGUCCUUCAAGUCGGUGGUUAAAGGCUACGGCACAACCGUAGUAAGCCGCCGAAACUGGAGGACUUGAGUACAGGAGAGGAAAGAGGAAUUCCCGGUGUAGUAGUAAAAUAAGUAGAUAUUAGGAGGAACACCAGUAGCGAAGGCGGCUUUCUGGACUGCAACUGACAAUGAGGCACGAAAGCGUGGGUAGCAAACAGG